CCAAUAGCGUAUAUUAAAGUUGUUGCAGUUAAAAAGCUCGUAGUUGAAUUUCGGGAUCAAUAUGUUGGUCGUGCCUUGGUACGUACUGGCGUCAUUGGUUUCUACCUUCUGAAGAACCUCGAUGUCAUUAAUUUGGUGUCUUGGGGAAUCAGGACUGUUACUUUGAAAAAAUUAGAGUGUUUAAAGCAAGCUCACGCUUGAAUACAUUAGCAUGGAAUAAUGAAAUAGGACGUUUGAUUCUAUUUUGUUGGUUUCUAGGAUCGACGUAAUGAUUAAUAGGGAUAGUUGGGGGCAUUAGUAUUCAAUUGUCAGAGGUGAAAUUCUUGGAUUUAUUGAAGACUAACUACUGCGAAAGCAUUUGCCAAGGAUGUUUUCAUUAAUCAAGAACGAAAGUUAGGGGAUCGAAGACGAUCAGAUACCGUCGUAGUCUUAACCAUAAACUAUGCCGACUAGGGAUCGGGGGAUGUUAAUUUUUUAAUGACUCAUUCGGCGCCUUAC
rnacentral:rRNA from 1 species